GUGCUUCUCCAGCCUAUAUACUAAAAUUGGAAAGAUGUGAAGAUUAUCACGAUCUUUGGAUAAGAAUGACAACCAAAUGCAUGCAGUGUCUCAUAUUUUU
rnacentral:snRNA from 1 species